rnacentral:lncRNA from 1 species
CGAUGUUACAUCUACCAGAGCAUGACUCACUAAGGAACUACACUAGACUCCAAGCACUAGCUUCUACUUAAUCACUGCACGUUACCUGAAACAUAGUUGUAAGGGUGAGUUCCUCAAUCGAUAUAAUAAGCAUUAUAAAAUAUCAUGUAAUGCUAAGUAAAUGAACACAUCUCAUCACCCUAAUCAUAAUACACCAGUAAUCGGCAAACAUCAACUCAUACUCAUAAUCAUCAACAUAAACACUCAAAACACACGUAUAAUAUUGAACACAUCCAUUCAUAUUAUACUACAAUACAUUAAUGCAAUGAGACUCCAUGCAUCGCGUACCGACUAUUCGUGAACAUAUAGUUCAAACCUCACCGAUCAAAUCCAGAUACGGCUACCAAGCUCACUAGUCCCACUCAUUUGAGACCUAGUGACUCACUCACUAAUUCCUCACCAUGGGCAAUUGCCUACCAAACAAGGGCUAUGCUAUGCACGCUAAUCACCUAGCAUGCAAACAUCAACAACAAUCCACAAUAACUCACUCACUAAUUCCUCACCAUGGGAAUUAGCUACCACCAUAAAGGCCAUAAUAUACACGCUAAAAUCACCUAGCAUGCAAACACCAACAAUCAUCCACAAUGGACAUAUGCUCACACUUUAAGCCAUAAACAGUCCAUUCACAAUUGCAUACAUAAUAGAUAUAUUCACAGCAUUAUGCAUACAAUCAUACAUCAUCAACAUAUUUAUCACAUAAUCAUAUCAUGUCAUGCCACAUAAUCAAUCACAGUAUUAGCACACUCUACUAAUAUCUAUACUGCUCAAAACAACGGGAAAAUGAUCCCUCCUAUAUCAUACACCAAUAUAGGCCAAUCCUCAAUUGUACACAACAAUUAAAUAUCACUUUUUCAUUUUUCAAACAGUGUUAACCGGUUAAGGCCCUGGGUUAACCGGUUAACGCAACACAGAACACGCUUCCUGGCAAUUCACGACAGUGUUAACCGGUUAACGCCCUGGGUUAACCGGUUAACGCAAGACAAACAACAAUAUUUCACAAUUCAUAACAGUGUUAACCGGUUAACACCCUGGGUUAACCGGUUAACGCAAGACAGAAAGCUNGUAUUAGCACACUCUACUAAUACCCCUACCGCUCAAAAUAACGGGAAAUGAUCCCUAUUAUAUCACACGCCAAUAUAGGCCAAACAUCAAACAUGUACACCACAUUUAAAUAUAAAUUUUUCACUUUUCACACAGUGUUAACCGGUUAACGCAACACAGAACACGCUUCCUGACAAUUCACAAUAGUGUUAACCGGUUAACACCCUGGGUUAACCGGUUAACGCAAGACAGACAGCAAUAUUUUCACAAUUCAUAACAGUGUUAACCGGUUAACACCCUGGGUUAACCGGUUAACCCAGGGCGUUAACCCAUAAUACCCAUUAAACGACGAUAAACCCCCCUUACCUGAGUAAAUCCGGCAAUCCUUUUAGCUUCAAGCUUUUCCUUUCUUCAAUCCUUGCUCUCUUGCUCUUCCUCUUUGCCCUUUUCUCACUUUUUCUGUCGCUUUCCCUUUUCACGUGAAAAAACCUUUCUUUACCAAAUGGAACUCUUAUAUAUAUUCCAACUUAUAUUCCAAUUUAUAUUAUUCCAAUAAUAAUAAUAAUUCCAAUAAUAUUCCAAUAAUAAUCCAAUUAUUUAAUUAAAUUAAUAAAUAUACUAUUAACUUAAUUUAAAUAAUUAUCAUAUUUUAUNAAAAAACCUUUCUUUACCAAAUGGAACUCUUAUAUAUAUUCCAACUUAUAUUCCAAUUUAUAUUAUUCCAAUAAUAAUAAUAAUUCCAAUAAUAUUCCAAUAAUAAUCCAAUUAUUUAAUUAAAUUAAUAAAUAUACUAUUAACUUAAUUUAAAUAAUUAUCAUAUUUUAUCGGGGUGUUACAC